AGUAAACCUGACCUCUGGUGUCGAAAUUUUGGCCUCAUGUGCCACCUGAUACCAUUGCUGUCUGAAGCCAGAGUUUAUCUCCAGCUUUCGGUGACAUUUACAUAGCUGAUUGUUUGUUUUUUCUUUUUGUUCAUAUUUUCCUAUUUUGUUUAUUGAAGACGUCAGGCCCAGUGCUGCUCAUUUUGUCGACCGUGUUUCACUUUGUUUUUACACCCUGGCUGGAAAGGUAUCGCGGCCUCUGUCACACAGAGAAAGACACGUAUAUACGUCCUGCUGUGAUAUGACCAUGGAGUGUGUGUUAGCUGUAGUCACCAACAUCAGGCCCUAAGUAACAUACAUUGAUCCACUGAAGGCAUGCACCAUGGAGCAUGAACAGCAAAAACUGCAAGGAUCUCCCUUAACAGGCCUGGGAUGAGCCAUCCUUGAGGCUAGUUACUGGGAACAAACAUUGGAUUAACGAGUAGAACCUCCACACCAACAGCUGUCGUCUGACUGAAAAAAACAUGCUCAUGGAUAAUCCUUGUCCCCCAAGAUAAUGUGAGUUGUUGAUGGUGGCAGUGCGCAAAGUAUAUAAUACAACCAGUCUUCGUCGGUCCAUCAGCCAGCUGCAGAUCAUAGUUUUAACAUAAAAAGAGUUUUCAGCAUGUCAGCACUAGACAGAUGCAUACAUCAUCGGCGACAUGCAGUUGGGAUUUUGGAGGACUGCACGGGAGCAUGGCAGGAGUGGGUGAAAACCCCUUUCCGCUUUAGCAACAACUACUUUCCGUGUGAAACGCUGUCUCAUCAGAUUUACAGCACCGGGCUGAUUCUGAGCAGAGUGCAUUUCCAUGUACACCUCAUAAUAUGUCCUACUUCUUCUAUCAACAAUCGUAUCAUCAAUAAACACUUCUAAACCA